rnacentral:rRNA from 1 species
AGGGUUCGAUUCUGGCUCAGGAUGAACGCUGGCGGCGUGCCUAACACAUGCAAGUCGAACGAAGCACUGCGGAUGGAGAUUCGUCAAAAUCUGCUUUGACUUAGUGGCGGACGGGUGAGUAAUGUGUGAGCAACCUGCCUUUCAGAGGGGGACAACAGUUGGAAACGACUGCUAAUACCGCAUAAUGUAUUGGAAGGGCAUCCUUUUGAUACCAAAGGAGCAAUCCGCUGAAAGAUGGGCUCACAUCUGAUUAGCUAGUUGGUGGGGUAACGGCCUACCAAGGCUGCGACCAGUAGCCGGACUGAGAGGUUGAACGGCCACAUUGGGACUGAGAUACGGCCCAGACUCCUACGGGAGGCAGCAGUGGGGAAUAUUGGGCAAUGGGCGAAAGCCCUGACCCAGCAACGCCGCGUGAAGGAAGAAGGUCUUCGGAUUGUAAACUUCUUUUAUGAGGGACGAAGGACGUGACGGUACCUCAUGAAUAAGCCACGGCUAACUACGUGCCAGCCGCGGC